UAGAGUUUGAUCAUGGCUCAGAUAGAACGCUGGCGGCAGGCCUAACACAUGCAAGUCGAGCGCGAAAGUCUUCGGAUGAGUAGAGCGGCGGACGGGUGAGUAACGCGUAGGAAUCUACCUGGUAGUGGGGGAUAACUCGGGGAAACUCGAGCUAAUACCGCAUACGCCCUGAGGGGGAAAGCGGGGGAUCGCGAGACCUCGUGCUAUCAGAUGAGCCUGCGUAGGAUUAGCUAGUUGGUGGGGUAAAGGCCUACCAAGGCGACGAUCCUUAGCUGGUCUGAGAGGAUGAUCAGCCACACUGGGACUGAGACACGGCCCAGACUCCUACGGGAGGCAGCAGUGGGGAAUAUUGGACAAUGGGGGCAACCCUGAUCCAGCCAUGCCGCGUGUGUGAAGAAGGCCUUCGGGUUGUAAAGCACUUUCAGCGGGGAGGAAGGCAUCAUGGCUAAUAUCCAUGGUGAUUGACGUUACCCGCAGAAGAAGCACCGGCUAACUCCGUGCCAGCAGCCGCGGUAAUACGGAGGGUGCAAGCGUUUAUCGGAAUUACUGGGCGUAAAGCGCGCGUAGGCGGCUUGUUAAGUCGGAUGUGAAAUCCCCGGGCUCAACCUGGGAAUUGCAUCCGAUACUGACGAGCUGGAGUGCGAUAGAGGGGGGUAGAAUUCCUAGUGUAGCGGUGAAAUGCGUAGAUAUUAGGAGGAAUACCGGUGGCGAAGGCGGCCCCCUGGAUCGACACUGACGCUGAGGUGCGAAAGCGUGGGUAGCAAACAGGAUUAGAUACCCUGGUAGUCCACGCCGUAAACGAUGUCUACUAGCCGUUGGAGAUCUAGAAUCUUUAGUGGCGAAGCUAACGCGAUAAGUAGACCGCCUGGGGAGUACGGCCGCAAGGUUAAAACUCAAAUGAAUUGACGGGGGCCCGCACAAGCGGUGGAGCAUGUGGUUUAAUUCGACGCAACGCGAAGAACCUUACCUGGUCUUGACAUCCACGGAACCCUGAAGAGAUUUGGGGGUGCCGCAAGGAACCGUGAGACAGGUGCUGCAUGGCUGUCGUCAGCUCGUGUCGUGAGAUGUUGGGUUAAGUCCCGCAACGAGCGCAACCCUUGUCCUUAGUUGCCAUCAUUCAGUUGGGAACUCUAAGGAGACCGCCGGUGACAAACCGGAGGAAGGUGGGGAUGACGUCAAGUCAUCAUGGCCUUUAUGACCAGGGCUACACACGUGCUACAAUGGCAAGUACAGAGGGAAGCCAACCCGCGAGGGGGAGCUAAUCCCAGAAAGCUUGUCUUAGUCCGGAUUGGAGUCUGCAACUCGACUCCAUGAAGUUGGAAUCGCUAGUAAUCGCAGAUCAGCAUUGCUGCGGUGAAUACGUUCCCGGGUCUUGUACACACCGCCCGUCACACCAUGGGAGUUGAUUGCACCAGAAGCAGGUAGCCUGACCGCAAGGAGGGCGCUUACCACGGUGUGGUUAAUGACUGGGGUGAAGUCGUAACAAGGUAACCGUAA
rnacentral:rRNA from 1 species